CGUGAGGGAAAGGUGAAAAGCACCCCGGGAGGGGAGUGAAACAGUACCUGAAACCGUGCGCCCACGAGCAGUCGGAGCAACUUUACGUUGUGACGGCGUGCCUUUUGUAGAAUGAGCCAGCGAGUCGCUGGCGCGGGGCGAGGUUAACCGAAAGGGAGCCGGAGCGAAAGCGAGCCUUAACAGGGCGACUUGAGUCCCGCGCCGCGGACGCGAAGCCGGGUGAGCUAUCCGUGGGCAGGCUGAAGCGGGGGUAAGACCCCGUGGAGGGCCGAACGCACGUCGGUUGAAAACGGCGGCGAUGACCUGCGGAUAGGGGUGAAAGGCCAAUCAAACCCGGAGAUAUCUCGUUCUCCCCGAAAUAGCUUUAGGGCUAGCGUCGCGCGUUCACCGCCGGAGGUAGAGCACCGGAUGGACGAGGGGGCUUCGCCGCCUACCGAAUCCAACCGAACUCCGAAUGCCGGCGGCCCAGAGCGCGGCAGUCAGAGCAUGUGGGCUAAGCUGUGUGCUCGAGAGGGAAACAGCCCGGACCGCCCGCUAAGGUCCCCAAGUUCCAGCCGAGUGGCAAAGGAUGUGCGUCCGCCCAGACAACCAGGAUGUUGGCUUAGAAGCAGCCAUCCAUUCAAAGAGUGCGUAACAGCUCACUGGUCGAGUGGACAUGCGCCGACAAUACACGGGGCUAAGCUGGACACCGAAGCGGCGGGAUUUUAAUUCAUUAGAAUCGGUAGGGGAGCUUCCCAUGGGCGGAGAAGCCGGAGGGCGACCGACGGUGGAGCGCAUGGGAGUGAGAAUGCUGGCAUGAGUAGCGAGAGACGAGAGAGUAACUCGUCCGCCGUGAACCCGAGGUUUCCUGGGCAAGGCUAAUCCUCCCAGGGUCAGUCGGGGGCUAAGGCGAGGCCGGGAGGCGUAGCCGACGCGCAGCAGGCAGACAUUCCUGCACCGCGCACGCGGCGCUACGACCGACGGGGCGACGGAUGGGGGUGGCUCGGCGGGGUUCUGGACGUCCCCGUGAUGGAGCGCGGCCCGCGGACCAGGGAAAUCCGGUCCGCAGAAGGGCGAGGCUCCGGACGAAGCACUUAAGCGAAGCGAGUGAGCCCGAGGUCCCUAGAAAAACCCCUAGGCAGGCGCGUGCGCGCCCGUACCGCAAACCGACACAGGUGGGUGGGUAGAACAUACCGAGGCGAUCGGGUCAACCAUGGUCAAGGAACUCGGCACAAUGGCCCCGUAACUUCGGGAGAAGGGGUGCCCGCGCGUACGUGAACCGGCUUGCCCGGGGAGCGGAGGCGGGCCGCAGUGGAGAGGCCCAAGCGACUGUUUACCAAAAACACAGGACUCUGCAGAAGCCGCAAGGCGACGUAUAGGGUCUGACGCCUGCCCGGUGCCGGAAGGUCACGCGGAGGAGUUAGCCGAUUCGGCGAAGCCCCGAAGCCAAGCCCCGGUAAACGGCGGCCGUAACUAUAACGGUCCUAAGGUAGCGAAAUUCCUUGUCGGGUAAGUUCCGACCUGCACGAAAGGCGCAACGACUUGGGCGCUGUCUCGACCAUGGACCCGGUGAAAUUGCACUGGUCGUGAAGAUGCGACUUACCCGCGGAAGGACGGAAAGACCCCGUGAACCUUCACUGCAGCUUGGCAUUGGCCGCUGGUCCCGCGUGUAGAGGAUAGGCAGGAGGCAUCGAUCCGGAGGCGCCAGCCCCCGGGGAGCCGCCCUUGGAAUACUGCCCUCGCGCGACCGGCGUCCUAACCCGAGGCCGUCAACCGGCUCGGGGACCGUGCCAGGCGGGCAGUUUGACUGGGGCGGUCGCCUCCUAAAGGGUAACGGAGGCGCGCGAAGGUCCGCUCGGGACGGUCGGCAACCGUCCUUUUGAAUGCAAGAGUACAAGCGGGCUUGACUGCGAGGCCCACAAGCCGAGCAGGUGCGAAAGCAGGCUCUAGUGAUCCGGCGGCC
rnacentral:rRNA from 1 species